UACGUAGGGUGCGAGCGUUGUCCGGAAUUAUUGGGCGUAAAGAGCUUGUAGGCGGUUUGUCGCGUCUGCUGUGAAAAUCCGGGGCUCAACCCCGGACUUGCAGUGGGUACGGGGCAGACUAGAGUGUGGUAGGGGAGACUGGAAUUCCUGGUGUAGCGGUAGAAAUGCGCAGAUAUCAGGAGGAACACCGAUGGCGAAGGCGGUUCUCUGGCGAUGUCCUGACGCUGGAGGAGCGAAAGUGUGGGGAGCGAACAGG
rnacentral:rRNA from 1 species